rnacentral:rRNA from 1 species
UAUCGUUUAAUGGCCGCAGUACCCUGACUGUGCUAAGGUAGCGUGAUUCUUGUUUUCUUAAUUAGAAAUCUGUUCAAAGAAUGAAAUGAAGAGAAUCUAUUGUUUCCAUAUAAAGUGAACUUAAAUUGUUAGUGAAAAUUCUGACAAGCGUUUAAAAGACGAGAAGACCCCAUAAAACUUAAUUUGAUCUCUUUUUCAAGGGUUUAAAAUUUAAAUGGGGACUUUAGAGUAUAAUAAUAACUCAAAGACCUAUUUCUAUAAUAUUAGCGAAGCUACUUUGGGGAUAACAGGGUAAAGUAUUUAGAGAGUUCAUAUCGAUAAAUACAUCUACUAC